rnacentral:rRNA from 1 species
UACGGAGGGGGACUAGCGUUGUUCGGAAUUACUGGGCGUAAAGCGCACGUAGGCGGAUUUGUAAGUCAGGGGGUGAAAAUCCCCGGGGCUCAACCUCGGAACUGCCUUUUGAUACUGCAAAUCUCGAGUCCGAAAGAGGUGAGUGGAAUUCCUAGUGUAGAGGUGAAAUUCGUAGAUAUUAGGAAGAACACCAGUGGCGAAGGCGGCUCACUGGUCCGGUACUGACGCUGAGGUGCGAAAGCGUGGGGAGCAAACGGG